CUUCCUCUUCCCUCAGCUCUCGUCUGGACCACACGCAUCGCCUCAGCACUACUUUCCAGGCACCUGUCCAGAAGAGAAGAAAUACAUACCCCAGGGGGCUUUGCGGUCAGAGGGAAGAUAUUACCCCUGACAAAAAGAUUAUUGAAGCUACCUAAGUGAAGUUCAGAAAUUGAUAAUCAACAGUUUCCUGUGACUAGCCAUGAAACCCCUGCAAUGGAAAAAAUCUCAGUGGAGAUGGGCCAGCACAAUGUGCCCAUGAAGCUCAGAGAAUAAAACAGAGUGUGACUGACCAGAGCUGUUGCAAAGAAGAUAAUUUCACCUUAACACAAAAGGGAUUGAGUUACAGUUAUUAAGAACAGCUAUGUCAGUUGGGUAUAACAACCGACUAUACUGCAGCUGAGUGAAUCAACUGGUAAUGUAAAUAUUUAUUCCAGAGUUUGUUAAAAGACUGUGGAUGUCCCCCUCACUUAGCCAGAUUAGUAUGGGAUAAGUGAAUACACGUCUUAGACUAACAAAGUAUAAAAAACUGGAGAAAAAAAUAAUAAGAAGAAGAAAGAGCAAUGAGUUUAAGCUGGCUUUAAGCCAUGCAUUCCUUCCCAGCAACUGGAGAUGCUCAGUACAUGGUAAGAACAUUACAGACACUAGAAACAGGAGUCAUGUUGGUAUUAUGAUUGAAUUACAUAUUCCAAUUUCUAGAUUUUUAUAAAUGUAACUUACAUUUGUACUGUGAUUUCACAAUUUUCAUUUUGUAUUACUCUGCUAAAGCAAAAAUCCCAUGUAAAAUCACAUAUAUUCAAAUAAGUAAGUUAGAUAUUAAACGUUACACCAUACAUACAUGGAAUAUUUAAAUAACUUUGUCAUAGAAUAUUGAAUUUUUAUUUAUUUAUUUAUUUAUUAUUUUUGUUUUGAUUGAAUAUCCUGUGAUUUAUUUUGGCUUUAAGAAUAACAGAUAAAAUCUUUCUGGAGGAAAAAGACUGGAAUUAUUUCUCCAGGAGUGCAUCUAAUAUGUUGAUGUUGCAGAUAAGUAUUCAGCUCAAAGAAGCAGACUGGAGCUAAUCUAAAGUGAAACCAUAGAAAUAUUUCUUUUGGAGCAAUAGGUUCUACAACUAAGUGCUCCUUUGUUUCCUGAAGUCUUGUCUUUUCAUCCCAAAAUGCUGAAAUAAUUUUGAGGGGAAUUUAUCCUUACUGCUAAUAGAAAUAAUUAAUAAUAAUAAUAAUAAUAAUAAAAGCCUGAAGAGAUUAUUAUUAUUGUCAAGUCAGAUAUGCAUAACAGGCUGAAGAAGUGCCUGAAUUAGAAGUAAUGUUUUUAUUCUAAAAAAGAAUUCAAAUGAAGAUAAUUUGAUCUUGAUUUCAGUACAUUUUUCUAUGUUGAGAAAUAAUAUUUUCAUUUCUUUUCAUCUAUUCUUGUGGUGCUCCUAAGUGCUUUUAAAUUAUCAUAUCUAACAAUCAUUGACAUACAUCAGUAUUUGAUUGUGGUCCUCUAUUAACUACUACAGGGUUUUUAUUAGCAGAAAAAAAAAGGGUAAAAGAUGAUACACAAUGACACUGUACUCACAUCAGCUGAUUAAGUCAAUGACUUUCUAAAUCACAGUAUUUAAAACAUUGGACUUUAAAUAUUUACAAAAACUAUUUAGGAACAUUAGUCCUGCUUCUGCAAGUAAAUGAAAAUACCUUCAUUAGAAUCAUAAGUAUUAGUCAUAAGAGUCAUAAGUAUUAGUUGCUACACAUUUGGGAUCUCCAAAUAACAGAUUGAUCAGUAUUUUGCUUCUCAGAGAGAGGAAUUCCUUCAUGCACAAAAGCUGUUCUGCUUCAUUUAGUAGUUAAUGAAAACAAAAACAGUUCCAGUCAAAACUAUUUUCUUGUUUCUUACCUAUUCUUUCAGAAAAGGGUAGUAGAAUUCAUGUAAUCUCAUUUUCCUCUAUUUUAUGUGUAGCUUUACCAUAAUUUCAUUAUCUGGACUGCUCCCAUGAUGAAUAAAGAAAGAUCAGUGAAGGUGUCCUAUAUCACGAAGAAGCUGUUGAAGCUAUUUUUUUUCCCUUAAAGUUAAUUUGGUUUACAUAUUUAUAAAUAUUUGUCCUUACUUCUAGGUACGUAGAUAAAUUCUGUCCCUGAUAUAAGCACCUUUAGCUGCAAGAAACACAGAGAGUAGGUAGUUUUUAUGUAGAAACUUAUUUUUCCUGGAAGAAGCUGAGAGUUCUGUUAGGAUCUCUGCUACCUACAUUUGAUUACAGACAAAAGUGGUUACAUAAAUUCAGUGAUUAGAUGACUAUCAAAGUACAUAAGCAAAUGCAAUAUAAUAUUCUUUAAUAGGAAGGAUUUGUGGUCAGGCGGAGAAGUAUCAGCUGAAAAUUUUAUAUGAUAGAUCUUGCAAUAAAGACAGUAAAACACUCUCAAAAAAACAACAAGCCACCAAUGAAAAAGAUGCUAGUUUAAUGGUACCAAUAAUAGCAAGGAAACAGAGCUAGCGCAGAACCUAGGAGAGAAGUUUAGCAAAAUGUCGGGCCUGCACAAAUUCUUUGUAACAACAUACGGCUCCAUUACUUCACUUUUCAGGCAGCCUAAGCACACCAGGGCUAGAGGUAGAGAGGCUCACAGUACUUCCUCAGGCAACAGCUGGUGAUGCUAGAAAAGGCAUUAUUUUAGACAACAGGAACCAAGUCUCAUGCAUGUCAAGACAUCUGGAGGUUCUGUAAAAUGCUCAGAAUAUGCUCAGUAGACAGACACAAACUGCAGAUUCUAGAGGUAGAUUCUUGAGAUAGAAUGUCUUGUAGAUGGUUUGAUCUCUGCGUCGUAGAUAAGAAGAAUGUGUGGGGAGAACCAAACAGUGUAAUGAUUCCUAAUGUUUUGUUGUUGUUGUUGUUGUUGUUUUCUUUCUGUUCAUAGUACCUGUAAGGAAACUGUUGCCAACUGAAAUAUGCAGAAUUAAAUUCAAUUUAUCCGACGAUGAUUUUUUAAAAUAAAUAACUUCUCAUUUCAUCAUUCCAUUACAAUUUACAUAUUUUAUUUUAACAAUUUGUAAAUUGCUAAAUUUAUAAUUUGAAAUUGUUAAAUUGGUGAGGGGGGUGGCUCCAUAAAUAAAUUAAAAAUCAAAUAAACAAAAAAAUUAAAACAAACAGAAACCCCCACACAUAUCCUCCCCCUUUUUUUUUCCUCUAUUGCAACAAGACCUUCAGCUACUUAAUUCAUUACAGUAUCAGUCUUUUCACCUCUCUGUUUAAACUUUCAAACAGUAAAAUUAAAUCCAAAAACAUUUUAAAUUUUUUAAGUAAAUCACAUAUCUAAGCAAAAAUGAAAAUGCAAAAUGGAUCAUUAUGUUUGUCUUGAAAUAUUUGUCUGAAGAAAAAGGCUGUUUUAAUAAUGCUGUUAUUUUCUCAGAGGGAAUUUCCAUUUUACUUUUUCCCUUUCUCUUUUCCUUAGAGGAAGAUAAGCACAGAGAUAUUUUUUAUAGAAUAUUAUUAAUUAAAAUGAUUUCUCUUUGAUCUUCUGUAAUAUGAAGAGAAAUAAAUUCACUGCCCUUUGUACUCAAA